rnacentral:lncRNA from 1 species
GGGACCCAGGUGAGGGGCAGGGCUGUGUUUCCCAUAGGGAGCAUUCGGGGUGCAGAGGCCAGCCAAUUCCACUCCUCUGGCCAAGGUGACUAGACCCUCACAGAGGCACCUGGACCAAAGGAGGGCCAAAAUAGGGCACUGUGAGAAGAUACCUGGUGUGUGGAGGUGAGGUGGUGUCAUUGUGGAGCCAGGACCCACUGGAGGAGCUAAGGUUAGGGAGAAGCAGGGGGAAUGGAGGGUCCAGGCAGUGUCAGAAAACCAUAGCACAAGGGGACCAGAGGGGAGGCACAGAAAGGGGCCUGAUAAAGAGGCCUGAAAUCAAAAUACAGGGAUAGGGUCCUCUAGAAGUGCGGCCAGGGGCUCAAGCAAGGAGCCAGGCCCAGGAAUGGAGAGUCAAGUGUGAGGGCCUGGGCCAUGGUGUUUGAAAACAGGCAGGGCUAGGAAGGGGACUUAGGGGAGAAUGAGCAGCCGGUGGAGCAAAGGGAGGAAGGCUCAAGAACCAGGUCCCCUGCCAGGUGUCAGGGUUUCUGAGCAGGGCCCAGGCUGAGGGAGGCCAAAGGGCCCAGGCAAAGGGCAGGGUUAUGUUUUCCCCAAGGGAGCCUGCAAGGCCAAGAGGGCAGGUUCAGUCCUGUGGACGGCCUGAGUAUCCUGGGAAGGGGAUCAAGAAAAGGGCCCUGGUAGGGACAGGGACAAUAGGAGGGCCUAAGGAGGGUACAGCCUGGAGGGCCAGAAAAUGAAUGUGGGUGGUGUGGGGGCCAAGACCUCACCAAGGAGCCCAGGUUAGAGUCCUAGAGUAGGGCCCAUGCCAGGGGAGAGCAGGGAAGGUGGGGCCAGGAAGGCAGGGCUGCACUAGGGUACUGCAGGACAGGGAAGCCUAGGGAGCAGGGAAGAGGCCUUAGCAAUGGGCCUGCUUUCAAAGUCCAGGGACUCACAUGGAGCUCAGGAAAGUGGUCAAGGCUGAGGAGGGAAGGCAGGGGAUGCAGCAUGGGGGGAGCUAGGCUCUAGGCUCAGGGCCACUGCCAGGUUUCAGGGUUCCAGGUGCAGGACAAAGGACCCAGGGAGAGCAAGGGGCUCAGGUGAGGGACAGGACUCUAUUUCCCAUAAUGCAUCCUGGCCCGGAUGAGAAUCCAAAAGCAGAGACUGGGCAAGUGGGGCCUGGAAAGGGAAGGGGCCCAGGAGGAGGAUGACUGUAGGGCACAGCUGGGGCUCUCUGUUGGUGUGGAGAGGGGCUAGAACAAGGAUGGAAGCCAGGAGCCAAGGCAUGGGUCCAACCCUACAAACUGAGGAUGGGGGAACAAGGAGCAGGAGAACCAUAAGUGCCAGGGGAAAGUGCAAGGGGAAGGAGAGAAAGGGGCUGUACAAGUACCAGGAGACAGGGAGGCACAAGGGGCACUGAGGGGAGCCCACUAGGGGGCCAAGCAAGGUGCCCUCAGGUCAGACCCGACAUGAAACGACUCCAUGCUACUUCAUGCGACCCAAGGAAUGCUGUCAGUGGCUCAGGAGAGCAGCCCAGCCCAGGUACAGGAGAGCAAAGGGUCAGGGUUAGGGAGGGCUGGGUUGGGGUAGGGGCAGCAUGCAAGGUGAG